rnacentral:rRNA from 1 species
AGUGAACGCUGGCGGUAGGCCUAACACAUGCAAGUCGAACGGCAGCACAGUAAGAGCUUGCUCUUACGGGUGGCGAGUGGCGGACGGGUGAGGAAUACAUCGGAAUCUACUUUUUCGUGGGGGAUAACGUAGGGACACUUACGCUAAUACCGCAUACGACCUACGGGUGAAAGCAGCGGAUCUUCGGACCUUGCGCGAUUGAAUGAGCCGAUGUCGGAUUAGCUAGUUGGCGGGGUAAAGGCCCACCAAGGCGACGAUCCGUAGCUGGUCUGAGAGGAUGAUCAGCCACACUGGAACUGAGACACGGUCCAGACUCCUACGGGAGGCAGCAGUGGGGAAUAUUGGACAAUGGGCGCAAGCCUGAUCCAGCCAUACCGCGUGUGUGAAGAAGGCCUUCGGGUUGUAAAGCCCUUUUGUUGGGAAAGAAAAGCAGCAGGUUAAUACCCCGCUGUUCUGACGGUACCCAAAGAAUAAGCACCGGCUAACUUCGUG